UGGUCUGGUGGAUGGUUGUGUGUUAGUUUAGCUUGGGGUUCUGGCUUUAUGUCCUCAUGCAUGCUUUGAGGAAUUGUUUUUGCACUUCCAAUUUGUUUGAGUGUAAAAUAUUUAUUUUAUUUAUUAUUCAUUUUGACGAUUGAAAAUCCCAAGAGAGUAGCACGUUCUUUUUUUUCUUUUUCCUCUUCUUUUUCUCUCUAUAAAAUAGAACAACUUUUUUUUUCUUUUUGCUUUGCUU
rnacentral:lncRNA from 1 species